rnacentral:snRNA from 1 species
GGAUGUGAGGGCGAUCUGGCUGCGACAUCUGUCACCCCAUUGUUCGCCAGGGUUGAUUCGGCUGAUCCGGCUGGCUAGGCGGGUGUCCCCUUCCUCCCUCACCGCUCCAUGUGCAUCUCUCCCGAAGCUGCGUGCUCGGUGGAAGAGGACGACCAUCCCAGAUAGAAGGAGUGUACUGUUCUUCGGUCAAGGGUAUACGAUAGCUGCGCUCCCCUGCUAGAACCUCCAAACAAGCUCAAGGUCCAUUGCAUCAUAAAACUGUCCAGAUGUAGGCAGAUACUUGGAAACAAACUUCCCUGGCUUCAGGAACUCAG